rnacentral:rRNA from 1 species
UCCGGAGGGUGCGAGCGUUGUCCGUCCUCCCUUUUCUUCCCUUUCUCUUAGGUGGCGACGCAAGUCAACGGUGAAAGCUCGACGCUCAACGUCGAGUCGGCCGUCGAGACUGCGUUGCUCGAGCACUGUAGAGGCAGAUGGAAUUCCGGGUGUAGCGGUGGAAUGCGUAGAGAUCCGGAAGAACACCGGUGGCGAAGGCG